rnacentral:rRNA from 1 species
UACUGCCUCUGGCGUUCGGAUUAUUGGGCGUAAGAGCUCGUAGGCGGUUUGUCGCGUCUGCUGUGAAAGACCGGGGCUCAACUCCGGUUCUGCAGUGGGUACGGGCAGACUAGAGUGCAGUAGGGGAGACUGGAAUUCCUGGUGUAGCGGUGAAAUGCGCAGAUAUCAGGAGGAACACCGAUGGCGAAGGCAGGUCUCUGGGCUGUAACUGACGCUGAGGAGCGAAAGCAUGGGGAGCGAACAGGAUUAGAUACCCUGGUAGUCCAUGCCGUAAACGUUGGGCACUAGGUGUGGGGGACAUUCCACGUUUUCCGCGCCGUAGCUAACGCAUUAAGUGCCCCGCCUGGGGAGUACGGCCGCAAGGCUAAAACUCAAAGGAAUUGACGGGGGCCCGCACAAGCGGCGGAGCAUGCGGAUUAAUUCGAUGCAACGCGAAGAACCUUACCAAGGCUUGACAUGAACCGGUAAUACCUGGAAACAGGUGCCCCGCUUGCGGUCGGUUUACAGGUGGUGCAUGGUUGUCGUCAGCUCGUGUCGUGAGAUGUUGGGUUAAGUCCCGCAACGAGCGCAACCCUCGUUCUAUGUUGCCAGCGGUUCGGCCGGGGACUCAUAGGAGACUGCCGGGGUCAACUCGGAGGAAGGUGGGGACGACGUCAAAUCAUCAUGCCCCUUAUGUCUUGGGCUUCACGCAUGCUACAAUGGCCGGUACAAAGGGUUGCGAUACUGUGAGGUGGAGCUAAUCCCAAAAAGCCGGUCUCAGUUCGGAUUGGGGUCUGCAACUCGACCCCAUGAAGUCGGAGUCGCUAGUAAUCGCAGAUCAGCAACGCUGCGGUGAAUACGUUCCCGGGCCUUGUACACACCGCCCGUCAAGUCACGAAAGUUGGUAACACCCGAAGCCGGUGGCCUAACCCUUGUGGGGGGAGCCGUCGAAGUGGGACCGGCGAUUGGGACUAAGUCGACCACAGGAGUAUAUACCAACA